rnacentral:ribozyme from 14 species
GGAUGCAAAUAUAGUAUGUGAAUGACGUCCUUUUUUUUUUUUUCUUUUUAUAUGAUGAAUGCUUUUUUUUUGGCUACCAAUUUUAUCAA